rnacentral:rRNA from 1 species
AAGGUAGCGAAAUUCCUUGUCGGGUAAGUUCCGACCUGCACGAAUGGCGUAACGAUGGCCACACUGUCUCCUCCUGAGACUCAGCGAAGUUGAAGUGGUUGUGAAGAUGCAAUCUCCCCGCGGUUAGACGGAAAGACCCCAUGAACCUUUACUGUAGCUUUGCAUUGGACUUUGAACCGACUUGUGUAGGAUAGGUGGGAGGCUGUGAAUCCGGGACGCUAGUCCUGGUGGAGCCGACCUUGAAAUACCACCCUGGUUUGUUUGAGGUUCUAACCACGGCCCGUGAAUCCGGGUCUGGGACCGUGCAUGGUAGGCAGUUUGACUGGGGCGGUCUCCUCCUAAAGUGUAACGGAGGAGUACGAAGGUACGCUAGGUACGGUCGGAAAUCGUGCUGAUAGUGCAAUGGCAAAAGCGUGCUUGACUGCGAGACCCACACGUCGAGCAGGUACGAAAGUAGGUCAUAGUGAUCCGGUGGUUCUGUAUGGAAGGGCCAUCGCUCAACGGAUAAAAGGUACUCCGGGGAUAACAGGCUGAUACCGCCCAAGAGUUCAUAUCGACGGCGGUGUUUGGCACCUCGAUGUCGGCUCAUCACAUCCUGGGGCUGUAGUCGGUCCCAAGGGUAUGGCUGUUCGCCAUUUAAAGUGGUACGUGAGCUGGGUUUAAAACGUCGUGAGACAGUUUGGUCCCUAUCUGCCGUGGGCGCUGGAAAUUUGAAGGGGGCUGCUCCUAGUACGAGAGGACCGGAGUGGACGAACCUCUGGUGUACCGGUUAUGACGCCAGUCGUAUCGCCGGGUAGCUAAGUUCGGAAGAGAUAAACGCUGAAAGCAUCUAAGCGUGAAACUCGCCUUAAGAUGAGAUUUCCCCGGGGACUCGAUCCCCCUCAAGGGUCGUGGUAGACCACCACGUUGAUAGGCUGGAUGUGGAAGCGCAGCAAUGCGUUCAGCUAACCAGUACUAAUCGCCCGUGCGGCUUGAUCCU